rnacentral:lncRNA from 1 species
CAAUGAUCACCUAGUUUUAACACCCCCUGCUAUGGGCAGGGUUGCCAACCACCAGACCAGGCUGCCCAGAGCCACACCCAGCCUGGCCUUGAAUGCCUCCAGGGAUACAGCAUCCACAACCUCCUUGGGCAACCUGUUCCAGUGCGUCACCACCCUCUGAGUGAAAAACUUCCUCCUGAUAUCUAACCUAAACCUCCCCUAUCUCAGUUUAAGACCAUUCCCCCUUGUCCUAUCACUAUCCACCCUUGUAAACAGCCGUUCCCCCUCCUGUUUAUAUGCUCCUUUCAAGUACUGGGAGGCCACAAUGAGGUCUCCCCGGAGCCUUCUCUUCUCCAAGCGAAAGAAGCCCAGUUCCCUCAACCUUUCCUCAUAGGAGAGGUGCUCCAGCCCUCUGAUCAUCUUAGUGGCCCUCCUUAUUUCAGAUUUAUUGGGUAACAUAAGAGGGAUACAGAGUGAUGCAGGAGAAAAAGCAUGUUUCUGCCCUACCUAGGUGAGGAGCCAGCCGCCUGCCUGCUAACACUCUCCUUGACCUCUGCUAAAUAAGUGUUAAAGACUUGGCUUCCUGUAGUUUAUGAUGUGCUGAGUGAGGAGAUGGAGCCAAACAAGACUCCUGGGUUCCAGAGCAGAAUAAUGUACAAAAAUCUGAAAGGAAAUUCUGCCCCAACAUAUAUUUCCCUAUUUAGAUUCACUGUGGCUUUGGGCUUUUUAAACAGCAAGAUAAAUCAGUCUGAGCUUCAGCUCCUGCUGUGUCACAGCCAGAAUUUCAUUUAGAACUUCUUAGCUACAGGAGGAUGACAGAAUAAAAGCACUUUUGUCAGUACUAGGCCACGGACUUGCCAAAAAACCUUGACCUAUGCAAAGAACAUGCUCACCUAGUAUUUUAGGGAGCUCUAGCACAUUUGACUUGUGUGGCAUGAUAAUAAUUUGGGAGGAUUUACCAACACACCAAGAUGCAGAUGAGGAUGGAUAAAUGUGAGUUACUGAGGUUGUCCCUUUGUAAGUCAUGUAGGAGUAAGACGGCCUGCCAGAUCAAUGAGAGACCAUAGAAAUAAAAGUAUGCCUGCACUGCACUGAACUUUUUCAGACAAUGGAGCUACAGACUUCUGUGGCAGCUGUUCUGGAAAACAAGGCACAGAUCACUUUACCACAGGCUAAUAUAAAAACAUAGGAAGCUCUUGAAAGACUAUCAAACCAAAAAAGAAUCACAACGAAUGCUCUGUCCUAUGCCUUCAUAGUGAGGUUCCUGUGCUGAAGCAGGAUCAUCCUGAAAAUGUUCACUUUAGUUCUUUUAGGUUUGAGCUUUUUUGGAGUGGAGAGAGAGCGGGAAUCCCACCACAGCUACCAUCAUAGAGUAGCCCAUGUUGGAAGGGAUACUUAAGGAUCAUCAAGUCCAACCCUUUUCUCCACACAUGGCCACCCAAAAAUCAGACCAUCUGUCUGAGAACACUGUCCAGAUGCCUCUUGAACUCCAGCUUUGUGCAGUGACCGCUGCCCCAGAAAGCCUGUUCCAGUACCUGACUACUCUCUGGUGAAGAACCUUAGGGUUCUAAAAGAGUUUGAGAGCUGGGAGGAGAUCAGCCCUGGCUUUCAGUUUGACUUGAGUUUGUUCUGUCUUCAACACUAAUAGUAGCAAUAAGGGGGAUGAUCUUCCCGUAUUAACCUUUUUUUCCUAUGAUUCAUAAAGACACUAUUUAAAUAGAUGAUCUUCAUUUUCUUCCAAGAGCACGAUAACUCAGUGUGUGAGAAAGGCAGACAGAUUCUUUGUUCAAACAUGAAGCAGCCUGGCUGGCAUCUGACUUCUGCCAUUUUUUGGUGAUAAUUCUUUGUUUCAUGCUAUUUUAUAAAGAAAAAGAGGGACAAAAUAGACAUGUUCUGCAUAGUUUAGUGUAGCAGUAUUUCCAUUCUGGUUUCCAAGUUUGUCCCUGAAAGCACUGGCUGUUUUUAACCUGAUAUAGCAUUGGCUUCCUGUGUAUUAUCUAACUUGAUUUUUGCUCUUCCGUCUCCCACAGCUCUUCAACUGACAAGAAAGCCUGUAAAUGUUGGAACACUGCGCUUCAGCCCCAGAAUCAUUUUUAUCUUCUCAGCAGAGGCUUUAAAAUAGAACUAGUUGCCUCUGUAUCAGUUCAUUUUUUUGGAUCAUGAAUGCUCUUGUCAUUUCCAGAAGGCACUUUCUGAUUAAAAAUAGCUUGAUUAUCUGAUAAAAUUAAAUGUGCUUUGCAAGAGGAGCAUUGGCCUCACACAUCCUGGCUGCUAAUGAGCACGGUGCUUGCAAACAUCACCACUACAGGCUUCAUCCAAACGGAAGCCCAUGGUUAAUGACAGCUUUCAAAGCUUAAAGAAGCCAACAAGAUAGGACAGCGUUUUCGUGUAACUGUUUUUUACUUUUAUGAAGGUUCUUUGUCAUCGGGGGUUUCAACAUGUGAGGCAGUACGUGCUUUGCAUACAGGACCGGUCCUAAUAGGUCACAGUUAGGAAGGAGUGCGUUGAGGGUAGCAGGAUGCCUGGUGGCGUGAGAACCAGGUGGGUCAGCAUGGGGUUUGCUGCAGUGGAAUUUCCCUGAAGCAGAAUAGAGGCAGAGCCUGCAGGAGACCUGAAAUAUACUGCAGGGCGUUGGGGAGACUGGGUGGAGAACUAGAGGAGAUGCUGAAAGUGGAAAGUGAGAGAAAAGGAGUAGCAGAAAGGUGAAGAGACUGUAGCAAAGGGCUACAGUACUGGCUGAGAACUGGUAGAGAGCUUUUAAAAAAGAAAAAUGAUGAUUCCUUUUCUGACACCAGUGACCCUGUGAGCUCCUCUUACUUCCUGUAAGAAAGGAAGGAAGAUAAUGCCCUCGCUGAAAGUGAUAGAAGAUGCUACUAGGAAAUACAACAAGAAAAUGCAGGAGGUGGAAGGCAAAGCAAAGUAAGAUGCGUAUUGGUGGAGGUUCAACACGAAGGCCAAAGGAGAAAUCUGUUAUUUCUUACAGUGGAAAUCCAGAAAAAAACAGAAACCUGUUUUCCACCCCUACGUGAUCCAAAUAAGAGCUCCCUGCGACCUGAGAGCCAACCUUGCAUUUUGCAGGACUGAGUCUUUCUGCCUUGACCACAAUUCUUUCUGCUCCGUGAUGCGCUAAAGCACAAAGCAUGUAACGUCUUUCCUGAUCUAAUUAGUGAUGCCUCCAUCUGUCUCGUGGUGAAAGUAACUGGCAUCAACACCAAGCUACAUGGCUUUGUUGUCUCUCUGUCCUUCAGCCUUUCUGUACUCGUGUAACAUGUCACCUGUUGAGAGAAAUGUGGAUUAUUACCUAUUUCUGAUGUAGAACACUGCGUGGAGAGGCAUACAAUAAAAUACAAUAAAAUUAAAUCAUGAAAAGAUGUCAUCAAAGCACCGCUACAUCAUAUCAUUAAAGCUAAGUUGCAAUAAAA